rnacentral:rRNA from 1 species
CCAGACUCCUACGGGAGGCAGCAGUGGGGAAUAUUGCACAAUGGGCGAAAGCCUGAUGCAGCAACGCCGCGUGAGUGAUGAAGGCCUUCGGGUCGUAAAACUCUGUCCUCAAGGAAGAUAAUGACGGUACUUGAGGAGGAAGCCCCGGCUAACUACGUGCCAGCAGCCGCGGUAAUACGUAGGGGGCUAGCGUUAUCCGGAUUUACUGGGCGUAAAGGGUGCGUAGGCGGUCUUUCAAGUCAGGAGUGAAAGGCUACGGCUCAACCGUAGUAAGCUCUUGAAACUGGGAGACUUGAGUGCAGGAGAGGAGAGUGGAAUUCCUAGUGUAGCGGUGAAAUGCGUAGAUAUUAGGAGGAACACCAGUUGCGAAGGCGGCUCUCUGGACUGUAACUGACGCUGAGGCACGAAAGCGUGGGGAGCAAACAGGAUUAGAUACCCUAGUA